rnacentral:rRNA from 1 species
GUCCACGCCCUAAACGAUGGAUACUCGACAUUUGCGAUAUACUGUAAGUGUCUGAGCGAAAGCAUUAAGUAUCCCACCUGGGAAGUACGAUCGCAAGAUUGAAACUCAAAGGAAUUGACGGGGUCGCACAAGCGGUGGAGCAUGUGGUUUAAUUCGAUGAUACGCGAGGAACCUUACCUUGGCUAGAAUGCGGUUUGACCGUAGGUGAAAGCUUAUUUUGUAGCAAUACACAGAUCGUAAGGUGCUGCAUGGCUGUCGU